rnacentral:misc_RNA from 1 species
UUUAAAUUUGAAAAGACUACCGAGAGUUUUGUCCGGCUCUUUCUCCUCUCGGCCUACACUAGGGACAUUAGGUUAAAUAAUUUGUUGUAAUAUUUAUUUUAUAAAGCCGAUGACAUAAUAGAUAAGUGAUGUCUACCGAGACACUAGUGAUCAGGGCAAAAUAAUAUGUUUGUAAUGUUUAAUUGUAACAAUUACCUUCAUUUUUGUUUAAAAUGUAGAUUUUUUUUUCGCUGGUUAAGUGUAUAUAUACCAAGAAGUUUUAAAUAUACAUUAUAUAUUUACAAAAAA